rnacentral:lncRNA from 1 species
AAGUUUAUAGUGCAUAAGAGAAAACUAACGUGAAACAAUCUCUCUUUUGGUGGUGUGGUGAAUGUAAGUCGGUUCGUUUAAAUAUCGACAUCACUAUAGAUUCAUGAUAACUCAUGAUCUUAAUAGUAUUUAGCAUCUUAUUUAGUUCAUUUUAAUCAUUCUAGAUUGCAUUUAGGUCUUAAUAUUGCAUUUACAUGCAUAAUUGCAUAAAUAGGGGUUAAAGUGCACACUUGAGAAGUUUGGGGCGAAAUCACAAGGUUGUUCUUGCAAGUUAUGGAGUUUGUGGCCAAUUUAAAAGAAAUCCGAAACCAAGGGACCAUCUUGCAAUUAUACGAGGGCUAAAUCGCACAGAUGAAAGAUUGGGGUUGAUUUUAGAGGGUGUGUCUGCAAAUUCUAAAGAUAUGGGCCAUUUUGUAAAGAAUCAGAAGUUCAGGGACCUGUCUUGCAAAUACUUAUAACUUCACCAUUGGAGAGGAUCGAAGCUUUUUCUUGGACGGAAACGACGAGCACGGCCACGAUGGAGCUGAGCACGGUCACGGUGGAGCUGAGCACGGCCACGGAGGAAGCUUGGUCGCGUCUUGGAGGAGACGGUGGCGCAGUCACGGCUUGAUUUGCGACGACGACUAAAGCUCUCGGCUACGACGAGGAAGGCGGAGCCAGUGAUGACCACGACGGCUCGAGCUUGAUUUCGCGAGGAAGAGGAGAGGCGACGACAGUCACGGUUUUGAUGUGUUGCGAUGUGUUGUGGUGGCUGGAGCACAAACUGAACCACCACCGCGAGCUUGGCUGAGACGAAGAAGACGAAGUCCGAGCUCGAGCAAACACAGCGGAUAGACGCAGCGGGUUCAUCGUACCGCUGGAAAAAGACCUAUGCCCCUGUCCAAUAUCGACUUGGUGGAGCGGGUCGUAAAAGCCGCUGUGGAGAAGACAAGAGUCGAUUUCAAAACAUUGACCGGUUUAUUCUGGUUUGACCCGGUUUUAUCCAAUCAAACCAUUUCGAGUUUUGCUUUCCUAUAAAUAGAUUUAGACCUAAAAACUCUAGUUUUUAUUUCAUUUUCUCUCAAGACUUUGUCUAAACUUGUAAAAGCUUGAUUCUUUCUAUAAUUUAAGGAAGUACUUCAUCUUAUAAUUGUGUUUUUCUUGCUCAUUAACAUGAUUAGCCUUGAUCCUUACAUGGGUUUAAGGUUUCUCAUGGAGAUUAUUGAGUAGACACAUUUUGGAUUCAUGGGUUAAGGUAGAUUAGGGUGAUUAAGCUAGAUCUAAAGUGUUUUAGUAUAAAUCCAUCUUGUUCCUUGCUAGUAGAGUGUUUUUAAUGCAACUCUAGAGUUGGCCUCUCUAAAGUUGAGCUCUAGGCAUUUCAUACCCGGAAGGUGUUUGAUGAAAUGCCUGAACCAACUCUCCUAAGCUUUUAACAUUCUUUACCAAAGGGAUUUGUUGUUAAAAGUGUUAAGAUGGCUAGUAGACUUGAGAUUAAUGAUUACUUAGAUAACAUUCAACCAAAGGGAUUUGAUGCUUGAGUUAUCUAGGUAAAUGAGCAUUCAUCUAGGGAUAGAGUUUGUUUAGGAUUGUGUCUAGGCCUAAGGUAGAUAGAUCAGUUGAAAGUUGACACCUUUAGAUUGAAACUUGAUCACCUUAUAUCAAUUAUCAUUACCCAUGAAUCCAUCCUUAGCAUUUGAAAGUUCUUGCACUUAUUUCUUGAUUGGAUUUGAGAUCACCUUGUUUAUAUUUCUAGGAUCUUAGCUUGUUACAAAUCAUCCAUCUUCUUGUUUGCUUAGAUUAAGAAAGCUUGUGUAUUCUUGGUGUUAUAGGUCACUAGUUCCUUGUGGAUUCGAUCCUAAAAUGCUACAAUGACAUACCAUUCGAUUGUGGUAUUGUUGGCACAUUAGGUUAAUUGGUGUGUGCUUAGACGCGUAAUCAAUUUGGCGCCGUUGCCAGGGAACUAGUAGAUUUAUCAUUAGGAUUUCAAUCUUUCUUGAGACUUAGCUUUAUUUUCUUGCUUUGUUUUUCUUUUGCAUAGUUACUAACCUUUACUUCUAGCUUUUGUUCUUGAAUGAUGGCUUCAAGCUGUUUUGAGAAGCCACAAGAAGAGGAAGAUCACAUCGAAGAUGAGCCAUAUGUGUAUGUGGAGCCACCACCCUUUGAUGCAAGUAUACUCACACCAGCACAGCUUGUGACGUUAAAUGAGCUUCAGAAGAAGUACCCGGGGUCAGCAAAGACAUCCCUAGCACGAAGGAUCCGGGUGGAGCUUAUUAAGGAUCAAGCAGAGCUUGAAGGAAGGGAGGUUACACAGUAUGAGUUCAAUGUUGCUUAUGACCUUAAAGAGGUAAUGUAUUGGGUUCCACCACCCCAGCUGGAAGGUACAAGAAUUUCCACUCUAGAACUUCAACUUGAGGAACUUUGCUUGCCUUGUGGUGAGAAUAUUGCCCAUGAUCUUGAUUCUCUUGUGCUCAUAAAUGAAUGUCUUGAUCUAAUAUGUGAAACUAGGAAGCUAGAUGAGUUGAGAAUAGAAAAGCUUGCUAGAGAUCAUAUUGAAGUUUGUUUUGACAAGAACUAUCUUUGUGCUUCAAUUGAUCUUGAAUCUGAGUUUUUGAUGCUUGAUGAACCUAGACCUCUUCUUGAACUAGCUGAUUUAGGGGAUGAACUUGAUGUUGAUAUGUUCUUGCUUGAGAUAGAAAACCCCCAUGUCAAAGACAAUCAUGAGAAUGAAAACAUUGUGUUUUAUUUGAUUGAUGGAGAUAGAGUUAACUACUUUGCUAAAACCUCGUUUGAGUCUGUAGUUGACUGUGUGUUUCCACCAUAUGCAUUUGAUUCUCAUCACCAUCUGAACCUCAAGGAGCAUUUUAUAAUUCAUGUCACAUCUUUAGUGAAGCUCUUUGAGGAAAAAUCUGUCUAUUUUCAAUGGACAGUAGUGUGCUCCUUUGCAUACUUGGUUCCUUGUUCUUGUAGGAGAAGGACCAAAGGUGCAUUGGCUCAACCUUUUGAUACCUAUGAUUAACAAGCACACAAAGUCAAGCUAGAGACUUAAAACAAGCUCACUUGGGAGGAAAUCUCAUGUUUAUCCAUUGUAUAUAUUUCUUUAUCUUCUCUUUUUAGGUUAUUUAAUAAGCAUGGUUGAGGUUUUUCAGGUCAAGUCUUACUUACCAUGGCUGAUGUGAAGCAUUGUGACUCUAGACACUUGCCUUCUCCCCUUCAGUCCAUGUCCAUCGGUGAAACAAACCCGAGGCCAAGGGUCCUCUACCACCCAAUUCAGCCAAUAACUCUAAGUAAGUGUCACUCCAACCUUGUACAUAUUUAGUUUUCAUGUUUAUUUGUUUCCUUUAGAUCUCUUCUUCGAGCUUACUCUGACACAAGGGACUGUGUGAAGUAAGUUUGGGGGAGAGUCUACUAUCUCACAUCAUUUUCUGUUUUGUUUACUUGCCAUGAGUCUCAUGCAUUGCAUUGUGAAUACUUAUUUGCAUAGAAAAUCCAUAAAAAUUUGAUUUUUUUUUUUUUUUUUUUUUUUUUUGAAAAUCUUCAAGUAGUUUCACUUGAUCCAUUUGCAUCUUUAGGAUUGAGUUUAGAAGCAUUUAGAUUGUAUUCAUGCAUUGAGAGAAACCUUGUAAAGAAUACAUGUCUAGAACUCAAUUUGACAUCCUAGCUAAACAUAUCAAGUAGCUUAAGCAUCUCUUGAAAAAGCUUGUAAGCUUCGAGCCUUGAAAACUCUUCUUGAAACAUGUUGUUUGCUUGAUGAUUGACAUUGUUCUUGAAACCAACUCCAAAUGAACUAUGGUUUAAUGAACUUAAUCUCUCUUGCAUAUGGACAUUUGCAUACUUGAUCAUGGAUAUUAUACACAUUUGGGUUAUCUUUCUCUCUUUGUACCAAUCUUUGUUAACCCAAAUGGCACUUCCCUCUCCAUUAACCCUCACCAUUCUUUGAAACCAACAUUAAUUUGCUUGAGUGAAGCCUUUUAUUGAUAGCAUGUCAUGUGCAAAAUUUUGAGAGUAUUAGGAGCGACAAUGAGUUGUUCUCAUCUUUGGCUAGCAUUAGGACCUCAUUUGGGCUAGCCUCUAGGAUGGUUGUUGGGUUUGUGAGCUUAAAUUCUUUUGAUCUUGGGAUAGGGAUGUGAGUGAAAGUGAAAAGAAAUGAACCAAAAAGAGUGUGAAAAAAAAAAAAAAAAAAGCCACUAGAGAUUAAAAAAAAAAAGAAGCUCUUGUGUUUAUAAAUAGAAUCCCCUUUAGAAUAAAAGAAAAAAAACAUGAAAAGAAAAAAAAAAGAAAAAAAAGAGCUGAGUGAAUAAAAAAAAAAAAAACUCUCUAGUUGGCUAGAAUAAGAAAUGAUAAUGUGUUCAUUGGGUGAGAGAUGAAAGUGAGUCUAUCUUUGGGUUUUGGAAUGAUGAAAAGAAGAAGGGUAGAGCUUGAAAUCAUUUAGGAAAGGGGUAGAAUGAUGAGAACAAGUCAUUGUAUGCAUGAAUUGCUCCUUUUCUUAGAUAAAUUUUGCAUAAUGUUCUUGCUCCUAUUCUUGAGUGUGAGUCACCAUAAAAGAUGCAUUUGAAAACCCUUGCUUCACAUUAGACCAUUUUCACUCACAAAGCCAAAUGAUUGAGAUCAUGUGCCUAUUUGCAAGAACUCACUUUGUAUGCUUGUUUAAUUGAAUGUGAGAGUUGGUUGAAAGACUUGUUGAUUGAUGAGCAUUGCAACUUGUGUAGAGGCAUAAGAGUGUUGAUAGGCCUUGAGAAGCUAGAGUGUAUUAAGAAAGUUGUUCAUGCUAUUUGCUAUGUUUCUCUUAGGAUGUUAAGUUGAAGGCUAGAAAGUGUUUUGGUUAUAAACUUCCAUUUUCAAACAUUUCUAUUUUUCAUUUUGAAAGUUUACUUGUGGACAAGUAAAGUUCUAGUUUGGGGGAGUUGAUAACUCAUGAUCUUAAUAGUAUUUAGCAUCUUAUUUAGUUCAUUUUAAUCAUUCUAGAUUGCAUUUAGGUCUUAAUAUUGCAUUUACAUGCAUAAUUGCAUAAAUAGGGGUUAAAGUGCACACUUGAGAAGUUUGGGGCGAAAUCACAAGGUUGUUCUUGCAAGUUAUGGAGUUUGUGGCCAAUUUAAAAGAAAUCCGAAACCAAGGGACCAUCUUGCAAUUAUACGAGGGCUAAAUCGCACAGAUGAAAGAUUGGGGUUGAUUUUAGAGGGUGUGUCUGCAAAUUCUAAAGAUAUGGGCCAUUUUGUAAAGAAUCAGAAGUUCAGGGACCUGUCUUGCAAAUACUUAUAACUUCACCAUUGGAGAGGAUCGAAGCUUUUUCUUGGACGGAAACGACGAGCACGGCCACGAUGGAGCUGAGCACGGUCACGGUGGAGCUGAGCACGGCCACGGAGGAAGCUUGGUCGCGUCUUGGAGGAGACGGUGGCGCAGUCACGGCUUGAUUUGCGACGACGACUAAAGCUCUCGGCUACGACGAGGAAGGCGGAGCCAGUGAUGACCACGACGGCUCGAGCUUGAUUUCGCGAGGAAGAGGAGAGGCGACGACAGUCACGGUUUUGAUGUGUUGCGAUGUGUUGUGGUGGCUGGAGCACAAACUGAACCACCACCGCGAGCUUGGCUGAGACGAAGAAGACGAAGUCCGAGCUCGAGCAAACACAGCGGAUAGACGCAGCGGGUUCAUCGUACCGCUGGAAAAAGACCUAUGCCCCUGUCCAAUAUCGACUUGGUGGAGCGGGUCGUAAAAGCCGCUGUGGAGAAGACAAGAGUCGAUUUCAAAACAUUGACCGGUUUAUUCUGGUUUGACCCGGUUUUAUCCAAUCAAACCAUUUCGAGUUUUGCUUUCCUAUAAAUAGAUUUAGACCUAAAAACUCUAGUUUUUAUUUCAUUUUCUCUCAAGACUUUGUCUAAACUUGUAAAAGCUUGAUUCUUUCUAUAAUUUAAGGAAGUACUUCAUCUUAUAAUUGUGUUUUUCUUGCUCAUUAACAUGAUUAGCCUUGAUCCUUACAUGGGUUUAAGGUUUCUCAUGGAGAUUAUUGAGUAGACACAUUUUGGAUUCAUGGGUUAAGGUAGAUUAGGGUGAUUAAGCUAGAUCUAAAGUGUUUUAGUAUAAAUCCAUCUUGUUCCUUGCUAGUAGAGUGUUUUUAAUGCAACUCUAGAGUUGGC